CCGAUCCUCCCACCCUUUGUGUACCUACCUCUGUUGCUUUGGCGGGCCGCGGUCCUCCGCGGCCGCCCCCCUCCCCGGGGGGUGGCCAGCGCCCGCCAGAGGACCAUCAAACUCCAGUCAGUAAACGAUGCAGUCUGAAAAACAUUUAAUAAACUAAAACUUUCAACAACGGAUCUCUUGGUUCUGGCAUCGAUGAAGAACGCAGCGAAAUGCGAUAAGUAAUGUGAAUUGCAGAAUUCAGUGAAUCAUCGAAUCUUUGAACGCACAUUGCGCCCUUUGGUAUUCCGAAGGGCAUGCCUGUUCGAGCGUCAUUACAACCCUCAAGCUCUGCUUGGUAUUGGGCACCGUCCUUUGCGGGCGCGCCUCAAAGACCUCGGCGGUGGCGUCUUGCCUCAAGCGUAGUAGAACAUACAUCUCGCUUCGGAGCGCAGGGCGUCGCCCGCCGGACGAACCUUCUGAACUUUUCUCAAGGUUGACCUCGGAUCAGGUAGGGAUACCCGCUGAACUUAAGCAUAUCAAUAAGCGGAGGAA
rnacentral:rRNA from 1 species